UCUCCCCAAAAAAAUUUCCCCCUUUUUAGCGUCUUUUGGGGGACCAUUUAGGGGGAAUGGGGAGAGAAACCGAGGGGAGGAGAAUUGGAGAAAGAUUUUUUUGGGGAGAGAGACGAGAGACUAGAGAUAGAGAUUGAAACCCUAGCAGAGGAAAAAGAACCGAUAGAGAUGAAAAACCUGAGUAAACAACAGGAGAGAAAACCCUGGAUAUUACAUCAGGGAGCCUGGGCCUCCUGAGAGAAACCCCAAAUAUACCCUUAGGACAUAACUCACUAUUAGAGACUUGCUGAUCGAGGCCUGGACCAGAAGGGCAAGAGCAACCGAUUCUGAUAUGAGUGAGCCCCAAAGGCUCGAGAGUCCCCAGACAUCCUGCCCGAUUUGGGGUAUGGUAUGCUGGAAUCAAGUUGAACUGUUUCACUUGAAAUGAGAAUGAAGGGAAAGCAUUAUUUUGGAUCCACUGGAUUUCUUUUUCCAGGUGUUGAAGCUAGAAUAGUCAAUGUUGACACGUUGAAGUCUAUUCCUCCUAAAUUAGUCAGGGGAUAUAUGGAUUCGUGGACCAAAUAUAAUGUAAGUGCCUGAUUGAAUGAUGCGAAGGUUGUUGAUACACCCAUGGAACUCAAUGUUAAACUUUCUGCACAUGUUGGAGAUCCUCUUCUUGAGCCUAUGAUGUUUCGCAAACUCGUCGGCUCCCUCAUCAAUCUCACUAUGACUCGCCCAGAUAUUGCAUAUGAUGUCCAUGUUGUGAACCAAUUUGUUUCAGAUCCUUGAUGACCACAUCUAUCAGCAGUUCAUCGAAUUUUACGCUAUGUUCGAGGUACUUCCAUUCAUGGAUUAUUCUUUGACUCCACAUCCUCUUUAGAUCUCAGUGCAUAUGCAGAUGCAAAUUGGACAGGUGAUCGCGAUACUUGCCAUUCUACUACAGGAUAUUGUGUAUUCCUUGGGUCAACAUUAAUAUCAUGAAAGAGCAAGAAACAGGACAUUGUUUCCAAGUCAAGCACUGAAGCUGAGUAUCGUGUCAUGUCCUGUUGCUAGUGCGAUUGUUUGGGUUCGUGCUCUUCUUAAUGAGUUUGUUGAUCAAUGUCGUGAUUGCAUCAUUCAAAAGAUUGCGGAGGGUGACCUUUGUGAAAAAAGUGCACCAAAAUCAGCAUCUGGAAAGAUUCUCCGAAGAGAGCUUAUUGAGAAAGUAAGAUUGAAGAUGUGAGGAUGACCUAGACCCUAUACUCUUAGUGUGGAACUGUUGCUUUCGGAUCAACUAAGGGUGAUUAUCAAAGGCAGAGUUCGACCUGAUUUCUUCUUCUGCAGUGGCUCCGAAAAAGAUGAAUAAGCUUUGGACUGUAGGUCGAGAACUGGCAUGCAACCUUGAGAUAAAGAAUGCAAGUCAAAUGCAACAUAUGUAAUAUAACUGUGGGACACCGACUGCCCGUGAGUAGGAAACAUACCAUGUCAACUAACUUCGAGAGCAAAUAAAGGUUGUCCCCACAAAAUACGCUCUCUCUCUCUCUCUCUCUCUCUCUCUCUCUCUCUCUUUUUGCGGUUCUAUUAGGAAUGUUUCUAAAUUUUGAGAGAAAUCAAAAGAUGUUUGGAUGUUACUGUUAAAAAUAAGCUUUGAUUAUGUUCAAGGGUAUUUUGGAUAUUAGAUUUAAAUGUAAGGGACAUUUUGAAAAAGUUAUUUUAAGGGUAGUUUUGAAAUGAUGUAAAAGAAUUGUGUAGAGUUCCAAAACCACAAUUCCAAGAUUGAGAGA